AAAUUGAAGAGUUUGAUCAUGGCUCAGAUUGAACGCUGGCGGCAGGCCUAACACAUGCAAGUCGAGCGGUAGCACAGAGAGCUUGCUCUCGGGUGACGAGCGGCGGACGGGUGAGUAAUGUCUGGGAAACUGCCUGAUGGAGGGGGAUAACUACUGGAAACGGUAGCUAAUACCGCAUAACGUCGCAAGACCAAAGUGGGGGACCUUCGGGCCUCAUGCCAUCAGAUGUGCCCAGAUGGGAUUAGCUAGUAGGUGGGGUAACGGCUCACCUAGGCGACGAUCCCUAGCUGGUCUGAGAGGAUGGCCAGCCACACUGGAACUGAGACACGGUCCAGACUCCUACGGGAGGCAGCAGUGGGGAAUAUUGCACAAUGGGCGCAAGCCUGAUGCAGCCAUGCCGCGUGUGUGAAGAAGGCCUUCGGGUUGUAAAGCACUUUCAGCGGGGAGGAAGGCG
rnacentral:rRNA from 1 species